AUACGGAGGAUCCGAGCGUUAUCCGGAUUUAUUGGGUUUAAAGGGUGCGCAGGCGGCCAUUUAAGUCAGCGGUUAAAUCGUGGGGCUCAACCCCAUUCUGCCGUUGAUACUGGGUGGCUUGAUUGCGGUCGAGGUUGGCGGAAUUCGUUGUGUAGCGGUGAAAUGCAUAGAUAUGACGAAGAACACCGAUUGCGUAGGCAGCUGACCAGACCGCAAGUGACGCUCAUGCACGAAAGUGCGGGGAUCGAACAGGAUUAGAUACCCUGGUAGUCCGCACAGUAAACGAUGAAUACUUGUUUUCGGCGAUAUAAUGUCGGAGGCAAAGCGAAAGCGAUAAGUAUUCCACCUGGGGAGUACGCCGGCAACGGUGAAACUCAAAGGAAUUGACGGGG
rnacentral:rRNA from 1 species